AGGUUAACCGAAUAGGGGAGCCGGAGGGAAACCGAGUCUUAAUUGGGCGUUAAGUUGCAGGGUAUAGACCCGAAACCCGGUGAUCUAGCCAUGGGCAGGUUGAAGGUUGGGUAACACUAACUGGAGGACCGAACCGACUAAUGUUGAAAAAUUAGCGGAUGACCUGUGGCUGGGGGUGAAAGGCCAAUCAAACCGGGAGAUAGCUGGUUCUCCCCGAAAGCUAUUUAGGUAGCGCCUCGUGAAUUCAUCUCCGGGGGUAGAGCACUGUUUCGGCUAGGGGGCCAUCCCGGCUUACCAACCCGAUGCAAACUGCGAAUACCGGAGAAUGUUAUCACGGGAGACACACGGCGGGUGCUAACGUCCGUCGUGAAGAGGGAAACAACCCAGACCGCCAGCUAAGGUCCCAAAGUCAUGGUUAAGUGGGAAACGAUGUGGGAAGGCCCAGACAGCCAGGAUGUUGGCUUAGAAGCAGCCAUCAUUUAAAGAAAGCGUAAUAGCUCACUGGUCGAGUCGGCCUGCGCGGAAGAUGUAACGGGGCUAAACCAUGCACCGAAGCUGCGGCAGCGACGCUGAUGCGUUGUUGGGUAGGGGAGCGUUCUGUAAGCCUGCGAAGGUGGCCUGUGAGGGUUGCUGGAGGUAUCAGAAGUGCGAAUGCUGACAUAAGUAACGAUAAAGCGGGUGAAAAGCCCGCUCGCCGGAAGACCAAGGGUUCCUGUCCAACGUUAAUCGGGGCAGGGUGAGUCGACCCCUAAGGCGAGGCCGAAAGGCGUAGUCGAUGGGAAACGGGUUAAUAUUCCCGUACUUGGUGUUACUGCGAAGGGGGGACGGAGAAGGCUAUGUUGGCCGGGCGACGGUUGUCCCGGUUUAAGCGUGUAGGUGUGUGUUCCAGGUAAAUCCGGUUCACUUUAACACUGAGGCGUGAUGACGAGGCACUACGGUGCUGAAGCAACAAAUGCCCUGCUUCCAGGAAAAGCCUCUAAGCAUCAGGUAACAUCAAAUCGUACCCCAAACCGACACAGGUGGUCAGGUAGAGAAUACCAAGGCGCUUGAGAGAACUCGGGUGAAGGAACUAGGCAAAAUGGUGCCGUAACUUCGGGAGAAGGCACGCUGACACGUAGGUGAAGUGAUUUACUCAUGGAGCUGAAGUCAGUCGAAGAUACCAGCUGGCUGCAACUGUUUAUUAAAAACACAGCACUGUGCAAACACGAAAGUGGACGUAUACGGUGUGACGCCUGCCCGGUGCCGGAAGGUUAAUUGAUGGGGUCAGCGCAAGCGAAGCUCCUGAUCGAAGCCCCGGUAAACGGCGGCCGUAACUAUAACGGUCCUAAGGUAGCGAAAUUCCUUGUCGGGUAAGUUCCGACCUGCACGAAUGGCGUAAUGAUGGCCAGGCUGUCUCCACCCGAGACUCAGUGAAAUUGAACUCGCUGUGAAGAUGCAGUGUACCCGCGGCAAGACGGAAAGACCCCGUGAACCUUUACUAUAGCUUGACACUGAACAUUGAGCCUUGAUGUGUAGGAUAGGUGGGAGGCUUUGAAGUGUGGACGCCAGUCUGCAUGGAGCCGGCCUUGAAAUACCACCCUUUAAUGUUUGAUGUUCUAACGUGGACCCGUGAUCCGGGUUGCGGACAGUGUCUGGUGGGUAGUUUGACUGGGGCGGUCUCCUCCUAAAGAGUAACGGAGGAGCACGAAGGUUGGCUAAUCCUGGUCGGACAUCAGGAGGUUAGUGCAAUGGCAUAAGCCAGCUUGACUGCGAGCGUGACGGCGCGAGCAGGUGCGAAAGCAGGUCAUAGUGAUCCGGUGGUUCUGAAUGGAAGGGCCAUCGCUCAACGGAUAAAAGGUACUCCGGGGAUAACAGGCUGAUACCGCCCAAGAGUUCAUAUCGACGGCGGUGUUUGGCACCUCGAUGUCGGCUCAUCACAUCCUGGGGCUGAAGUAGGUCCCAAGGGUAUGGCUGUUCGCCAUUUAAAGUGGUACGCGAGCUGGGUUUAGAACGUCGUGAGACAGUUCGGUCCCUAUCUGCCGUGGGCGCUGGAGAACUGAGGGGGGCUGCUCCUAGUACGAGAGGACCGGAGUGGACGCAUCACUGGUGUUCGGGUUGUCAUGCCAAUGGCACUGCCCGGUAGCUAAAUGCGGAAGAGAUAAGUGCUGAAAGCAUCUAAGCACGAAACUUGCCCCGA
rnacentral:rRNA from 1 species